UUUUCCUUUCCGUUUCCAUUUUUCUUUCUUACAGUUCUCUGCUUCUCUUGCUUUGGACCGUCUUUUCUUUGCUUUCCAGCCUUGCUAUCUUUCGCUCCAAACGCCGCGUCCUCUUUGUCUCUAACCUUGCGAUCUUUCUGUCACAAAUUACUAAGGGUGUUUUGUUGUGGAAAAACUAAUCAGCCAAUACAAGUUUCUUCGGUUGUUUACUUGGAUUCGACAAAACUUUUACCUACAAAAGCUAGCUUUUCCUGGUGAAUUUUAUGGUUUUAUCAAAUAUAGUUCUUUCAUUUUCUUUGCUGUGAUUUUGCAUUUGCGGAUGGGUUUUCUGUUCAAAAUUUCUGUUUUGUGAUUUUAGAGGUUUUGUUGCUGUCCUCAGAUCCUGCAUGUGGGUGUUCGAUUCAACUGCGUAUGGGUGUGUAGUUUGGUUUUGUUUUCAGUUUUAGGGGAGCCUGAUUUUUGUUUUUUUUGGGCCUUUUGUGUGCGGGUUUGGAAGCCAUAUGUGUUGUAGGUGAGUGGUUUCAGCUUUUCCCUUUGGGGCUUUUGCAGAACCAAAUUUUAUAUUUUUGUGUGUGUCUUUAUUUUUGGCAGCUCUAAUACUAUGUAUUGCCAUGGUUAAUUCUUUUAAGUGCAGUCUGGGCAUGAUCUUUCUUUAGAUCAUCGUCACUUCUAUUGAACUCAGGUAGGUUCUAUAACACCAGUAUAUGAGUUGUUAUUUUGGAUUUGUGUUAAUUUGAACGAAACCUUAACUGUUUGGUUUUGCGGAGAGUUAUGGCAAUUUGUGGAGGCUUUGCCGGCUAAAGCGAAUUUUGCGUUUGGUUCCCUCCGGUGAAAAAUCUAAGAUUUGGCAAGAGAUGGAAGGCUGUUGUUGGUUGCGAGGUAAGAUGCAACCAUUCUCAAGUUGUUGGCUUUUCAACCGGUGGAUUUGCGACCACCACCACCAUGAGGAAAAUGCAUCUCAUAUAGGUUGCUCGCAAGCAUAUUGAAACCUACAAAUAUCCAGCUUGGUGGGCGUUCUCCUAUAUUACAGUUCGGGUUUUGAUUUCUAAUCUUGAAAGUGAAACUUAAAAUGUGGGUUUGUGGUAUAGGAGCAAUGUUGAAAUAGAAACAUUGUGUCAAGGGAAGGGAGAAUUGGCACUAGACAUGAUUGGGUACUUAAAGACUAUACCACAGGUGAAGUCAUUAGAGGAGCGACAAGGUGUGUAUUAUUUUUUUAUUUUUGUUAUUCUGAAUUUUUAAGAUAUAAUUAUAGAAACUACUGAUAUUUUUUUGCUCUAAAGGUUGGUCUUCUUCCGGAUUAAAGUACUUUUUCUUACUGACAUGAUCUAUAUGGAUUGCACAAUUCAAAAAACUUCACUCGGAAAAAUAAUGUAUAUCUAUUUUCUGCUUAAAAGUUUUAACAUUUAUAUUCCACUUUGUUAGUGGUUUGAGAAUUGAAAGAUGUGUAUCGAUGCGGAUUGUAAAGUUUAUUAUUUUUUUAAAAUUUUUGUUUAUA